rnacentral:tRNA from 1 species
GCCGUAGUGGCUCAGUGGUAGAGCACACCCUUGGUAAGGGUGAGGUCGAGGGUUCGAUUCCCCCCUACGGCACCA